CUACGUCCUGAUGUGCCCUGUGACGCCCUGCACUGCCCUGCUAUGGCAUGAAUUACCACAAACUACUAUUUCUAGUCACUGUUCCACUAUCUUUUAUUGUGACUGUCAUUGCCACUAUUCAUUACACCCCCAACCGGCCCCAUCAGACACCGCCUACCAACAGCCUGGGUCUGUCUGAGGUUUCUCCCUAAAAGGAAGUUUUUCCUCACCACUGUCGCAAUAAAGGCUUGCUCUUGUGGGAAUUACAGUAAUUCUUGUUUCUUUGUAAACUA